GAUUCUGGCUCAGAACGAACGCUGGUGGCGUGUCUUAUACAUGCAAGUCGAGCGAGGCAGCAAUGCCGAGCGGCGAACGGGUGAGUAACGCGUAAGCAAUCUGCCCCAUAUCAGGAAAUACCCGUGCCAACGCGCGGUUAAUGUCCAGGAGAGUGGCCAGCUGCAUGGCUGGUUGACUAGAGAUUUAUCGGUAUGGGAUGAGCUUGCGUCCGAUUAGCUAGUUGGCGGGGCAACGGCCCACCAAGGCGACGAUCGGUAGCCGGCCUGAGAGGGUGAUCGGCCACAUUGGGACUGAGAUACGGCCCAGACUCCUACGGGAGGCAGCAGUAGGGAAUAUUGCACAAUGGGGGAAACCCUGAUGCAGCAACGCCACGUGUGGGAAGAAGCAUUUCGGUGUGUAAACCACUGUCAUGAGGGAAUAAGGCCCGCCUUCGGACGGGAUUGAAUGUACCUUGAGAGGAAGCACCGGCAAACUUCGUGCCAGCCGCCGC
rnacentral:rRNA from 1 species